GGAGGGGUGGCCGAGUGGUUGAAGGCGCACGCCUGGAAAGUGUGUAUACGGGAAACCGUAUCGUGAGUUCGAAUCUCAUCCCCUCCGCCA
rnacentral:tRNA from 4 species